GCUAGUCAUUAUAGUAUUCUUCAUACCUUUCGUACAUCAGUUUCUACAUCCUCAGUGUUGACACUUCGGGCUGAACGAGGCCACUGUGUAAGGAGCUGUCCUGUGCCUUGUGGGACGUGUGGCAGCGUCCCUGGCCUCUACCGGCUAGAUACCAGUCGCACCCUCCCCUCCAGGUUCUGACAGCCAAAAGUAUGUCUCCAGACACCGCCAAAUGUCCCCUGUGUGCAAAAUUGUCCUCAGUUGAGUCACCAGUCUAGAAAAGAGAGGACGUAUGUCUCAGAAAUAUCAGAUGGCUUCCCCAAAGUCACACUGUCGGUAAAUGAGAGGUCCGGCAUCCAGCUCUCAUCCAUCCCGUCCCAUCACGUGCUCUCCAAAAUCCGUGUCCCUUGAGCGGGUAUUUUUACUGCCACGACCGCAGUAGACUUGCAUCCGACAUGAAUACAACUGGAUACCCCUGGCAGAAAAUAAAACAUGGGACGAUUAUCUUCAGGUUGACGACAGAUAUGAAAGCAAAGAUAAUGCUAGUAGUUAAACAUGGCCUAUGGAAAUGCAUGUAAAUACCCCAGCCGGCCACGCCCCUGCAUGGAGCCCCGCCCAGUAGGAGAUGGAGACUCAGAGGGUCUGAGCUCUUCCCUCACUGGGUCUCAGUUCCCCGGGGGCCAGUCCACUUGGGCUCGUCUACCCAAGUUGGGGGUGUCUGUGGGGUUUGAAUUAGAGUCAGUCAUUCCUGCACUUGAUCUUCCCUUUGUUCAGUAAUUUUAGAGCCUGAGCCACGCCCAGUUUUGGGUGCUACCCCACUGUUUUCCAGAGAGGAGGGCGCCGCCAUCCCCAGGGCUCCGCAGUAGAGCUGGGACAUGGCUGGCUGGUCGGAACCCACAGACCCUGACGGCUCGGAUGCUUAAGAGGAAAUGCAAGGCCUGAAGAGUCAAAUAAACUGAUGCAGACCGUGCAUCUACCUCGGAGGAUGGCUUACUCGGUUCUGCCUGUGCUCCUACCAAAGUGCAAGGUGACUACAGGGAUGUGCUCCCUCCAUCAGUGGCCUGUGACUCUGCUGUCGGCCCACGACCUUCUGUCCUGCGCAGCAGAGCCCGCUGCAGAGUCCCCCAAGAAAUAAGGUAUUAACACUUCUCGUGUGGAGCUGAAUUCUUCAAGGAAUAGUAAUCCUUAAACAGACGGAGGAGAAGUCGUCUUCAAAGCAUUAAAAUCCAGCGGUGUGCUCCCGGCCCAUCCUUCUUCACCAGCCACGCGCCGUCUGGACGGAUUUGGGUCGGAAGAAUCCUGACGAAAUGUCUCCUCGAAAGAUGCCAUCUCCUGUGGGGCACUGGUCUAGCCCAGAGCUUCUGUCAAAGGUGACACCCAGAGAAAAUGCCCCUCCCUUUGCUUGGUCAGACACACAUCAGGCUGGGCCCCUCAGACCGUUUACUUUUCUUCUUUCUCUCUCUCUCUCUCUCUUUUUUUAAAAGUGUAUUUAUUUUGAGAGACAGACAGAGAGCGUGAGUAGGGAAGGGGCAGAGAGAGAAGGGGGGAGAAAGAAUCCUAAGAGGGUUUCACCCUACCAGCACAGAACCCAGUGAGGGCCUCGAACUCGUGAACCGUGAGAUGGUGACCUGAGCCGAAACCAAGAAUCAGACGCUUCACGGACUAAGCCACCCAGAUGCCCCUUUUCUUCUCUUAAGUCCCUGUUCCAACCUCAGAGAGCAUGAGUCCGUCCUGAUCAACCCCUCCUGUGUGCAAAUGAACUCUGUCUUCCCUCGACUGACCCAAAAGCCCUCGCAGUUACUGCUUCUGACCUAACCCAUCCAACUCCGAGAGGUGCUUUGUCCACAAUCACACAACUGAAAAACCAGUGCUCAACACGGGCCUCAGUGGCACAUGGUGAGUGUUCUCGAAAUAUUCGCUAGGCAGAUGAAUCACCAGAAAGACUAGAAAUCAGGCCUCCAGUUUUCUUGGGCCCCGACUGGGUCACAUCCCCAGAAUCGUCAUGCUCCGAAAACAGCUUAAAUGCGGUACGGAGAACAGACCAAGCUACCAGCCCCAGUUUCUCCGUAUCAGCUGCUGCUCCUGCAAAAUAUACUCUCACGUCCUCACCUAAGAGGCUUCAAUGUCGGGUUUAAAAUGUACUUUUCUCCAGGUUAAUUUUCUUUGCUUCCCUGCCUCCUUCUCGGCGAGGCUGGCUCAGGCCGCCCCCUGCCCUU